rnacentral:sRNA from 1 species
UCUUCAAUGCGUAGUGGAUUCCCGCGUCGCCGUCUUAUACCAGGGUCCAGGGAGUUGCUUCACUUCGGUUGGAGUUCAUCGUGUGUCGGCGAGAGCGUCGUCAUUGCUUUGGAGUCACCAGGGUCGUCGCUUCUGUGGGUCGUCUCGCCAGGGAAAGGAGGCAUCUUGUGGGCGCCGGGCCAAGAUGCUUUGCUUAGGGCCGACGCUCGUAAGUGUCCAUGGAAUUGGAUGCAGAAAAUUGGAUUAGAUAAGUAUAUCUAUAUGUUUAGUUUUGUUUUGUCUGAUUUUUGUUUUGUCUUUUCUUUUGCAGGUCCAAUUCGUCCAGGAUUUUUCAGAUUUGUCCGGUGGGAUAUGGGUAGGAAAGCAUUGCCUUGGAUUUAUAUAGAGCAUCGUCGGAGGGAUGUUGUCAGUAUAUCGUUGCUACCAGGAAAAGGUGGAAUUUAAGGGUCAAGAUUUUGACCUUUUGCCGGGUCAGCAGCGCCGCACUUGGAAUUCGUAAGGACGAGAAGGCUUCCCAACUUGGAAACGGCAUCAAAAUAUUUUAGGUUUUUAAUGUUUUAUGUGCCGAAAUCGUCGUUUUUCAUUUCGCCGAGUCGGGAAAAGGGAUUUUGUCUGUAAGCCGUUGCUGCCAGAAAAAAGUCGAUUUCAAGGGUCGCGAAAUUGACCUUUUGCCGGGUCAGCAGCGGCGCACCUAGGGUUAAGAAGGACGAGGAUGCACCCCAACAUGGAGACGGCAUCCAAACAUUAUAGGAUUUUAAUGUUUUGGGUGCCAAAAGCUUCGUUAUUCGUUGCGCCUAGUAGGGAAGUAGUUGGUUGCGUAGUUUUAUACUUUUAUUAAUAUGUUAUUCUUUUUCAGGGAUAUGGUCAGUGUUAUCGUUGCUACCAGAAAAAGUCGAAAUUCAAGGGUCACGAUUUUGACCUUUUGCCGGGUCGGCAGCGCCGCACCGAGGGUCAGUAAAAUCGAAGGGGCUUCCUGAAAUAGGGACGGCAUCAAAACAUUGUGGAUUUUUAUAUAUAUUAUUAUAUAGUGCUCUGUUUUAUGUUUUGAUUAAAGUAUUUCAAUCUUUAACGGA